UAGGGAAUCUUCGGCAAUGGGGGCGAACCCUGACCGAGCAACGCCGCCGUGAGUGGAGAAGGUUUUCGGAUCGUAAAGCUCUGUUGUAAGAGAAGAACGUGUGUGAGAGUGGAAAGUUCACACAGUGACGGUAACUUGCCAGAAAGGGACGGCUAACUACGUGCCAA
rnacentral:rRNA from 1 species